rnacentral:rRNA from 1 species
AUUGAACGCUGGCGGCAGGCCUAACACAUGCAAGUCGAGCGGGGUGAUGUAGCUUGUUACAUUACCUAGCGGCGGACGGGUGAGUAAUGCUUAGGAAUCUGCCUAUUAGUGGGGGACAACAUUCCGAAAGGAAUGCUAAUACCGCAUACGCCCUACGGGAGAAAGCAGGGGACCUUCGGGCCUUGCGCUAAUAGAUGAGCCUAAGUCGGAUUAGCUAGUUGGUGGGGUAAAGGCCUACCAAGGCGACGAUCUGUAGCGGGUCUGAGAGGAUGAUCCGCCACACUGGGACGGAGCCACGGCCCAGACGCCUACGGGAGGCAGCAGUGGGGAAUAUUGGGCAAUGGGGGGAACCCUGAUCCAGCCAUGCCGCGUGUGUGAAGAAGGCCUUUUGGUUGUAAAGCACUUUAAGCGAGGACGAGGCUACCGAGAUUAAUACUCUUGGAUAGUGGACGUUACUCGCAGAAUAAGCACCGGCUAACUCUGUGCCAGCCGCCGCGGUAAAAC